rnacentral:rRNA from 1 species
GACGUAGGGUGCGAGCGUUGUCCGGAUUUAUUGGGCGUAAAGAGCUCGUAGGCGGCUCGUCGCGUCGACCGUGAAAACCCGCAGCUUAACUGCGGGCUUGCGGUUGAUACGGGCGGGCUAGAGUUCGGUAGGGGAGACUGGAAUUCCUGGUGUAGCGGUGAAAUGCGCAGAUAUCAGGAGGAACACCGAUGGCGAAGGCAGGUCUCUGGGCAUUAACUGACGCUGAGGAGCGAAAGCAUGGGGAGCGAACAGG